UAGUAUAAGUUGUUAUAACUAAUGUGUUAUAACCUGUUCUUUAUCUUUAUUUAUAUUUAACGUCUUUUUAGGGGUUAGGUGUCAAUUGGGACGAGAGUCCUGUUCCUUUCCCCUGUCACGAUUUGUAUCUGUCUUUAUUUGUUAGUAUCUGUUUUUAAUUAGUUUGUAUCGUGUAUAAAGUGACAAAUUCAUUAUAUUAUUAUUAUUA